GGCCUGGUGGUGGAAUUAGGAGUCACGCCGGUCUCAGAAGCCGGUGCCGUAACAGGCGUGAGGGUGCAAGUCCCUCCUGGGCCA
rnacentral:tRNA from 1 species